CUACAGGAAGGAAUAUUCAUGCUUAAACGUGAAAUUGCUGCAGUUUUGUAGUAUUUUUGGCAGACAAGUGACUGUGGAUGUCUAGUAUGAUCAUUUUUUAUGUUUCAUGGUACUUGGUGCUGAUGUCUAUCUGGAGUUUGGAAAACAAUUUGUCAUACUUCAUCGAGAAGGAUGCAUGACUUGGAUGGUUUUGCACAAGUCCUUUAUAUUUGAUGCACUCUAACACUUCUGGUGUUUUUCCGAGCAACUGCACAGCAAGAUCCAACGGUGUCUUUUUUCCACUAGAUGGUUCUGAAAGUGAAAUAAAACUUACCAUGGUCUCCACAAGAAGAGAUAAUCUGAAUUUCCUGUUCUGAGCUCUUUGUCCAUACUGGAUCAGCUACUAUAAUGGAGAUAAGUAUCUUUAAAGGUUUAUUGAUAACAAUAAAAAUAGAUCAAUCUGUACAGCUGAAACUUUGAGAGGAUUCAAACAAUAAAAAUCAAAAGAUAUCAUAAUCUAGAGUAAAUUUUGCAUAUCAGACAUACAUUAGACUCCUCUG